AUUUGAGUAGCUAUAUCUUGAAUAAUAUCUUGAUUUGAAAGUAUUUGUGCUGAAAACAAGCCCACUCAUGGCAUUAAAUGUUGUUGUUAGGUGCCAUCAAGUCAAGUUCGACUUCUGGUGACUGUUUGGACAAAUGUUCGCCAUUCACACCUGUUUUUGGUCAGAUCACACAGUUCUCUGUCUUUCCAGUAGUUGUCUUGAUCCUGUCUAUCCAUCUUAUUCGUUGUCGUCCUCUUCUUCUGCCUCCCUCAACCUUUCCAAGCAUAAUCGUCUUUUCCAGUCCAUGCUCUGCACGCAUCACAUGUCCAAAAUAUGAAAGCUGCUGUUUGGUGAU
rnacentral:lncRNA from 1 species